UUUCAUGUGAAGUGAAAUGGCUGUAGCCUAAUGUCCUUCUGAAAUCAAGAGACACAUCUUCACUUUCCAGACUGGGACCAGACUUUUGUGCCACGUUGUGACAUGCACACAUGCACACACAGGAAAGGACUUGGCUUGUGCCCACAUGCCUUUCUUCAGGGACAAGUGGGAAUGGACAUAAGGAGCGUCUCAUCCUUACGUGGCCUCCUUUGUCUUCCUCCUUCCUGGCCAAGACGGUGAUUUACUGCCCAAAGACAAGUCCAUCUGAAGCAAGAACUGACUAUCGAGGACUCUGUAGUGACUGAUAAACUGGGAAGAGAAAAUUGGACCAGAGACUUCAAGGCAGCUCUCAGACAAGAAUAUUCCAGUGCCAGAGAGAAAGACAUUAAAAAUGAAGAGACAUGCAGAGAGUGCACCAUGCCAUCGUGGAGACAGACUGAAGUGACACAACUGUUAGUCAAAGAGGAUUAAGGACUUCCAGAAGCCACCAAAGGAAGGAGAUGGCUGUCUUCAUAUUUGUUCUAGACAUUGGUUCUACUCAAGUCAAGGCAAGUCAUCUGACCUUCACCAAGAAAGUCCAGCAUCCAGGAAAGGAAAUUGUAUGUUUGGAUAUACUGAUCAGCUGUGCUGGCUCUCCACAGUCUCCAUCGUUGUGAGGAUCCAUCUGCUCUCCCUGGGAGAUGAAGCCAAUGCCUCCCAUGCUGGGCUCCCUGGGGAUCAUCUCUCAGUGUGGAGAGCCUGCUCCAGCCCCUGAAGUGGAAAGCUACUACUUAACCAAACACACAGCCUAACAGCUGGGAUUAAAUGACCUGAAAGGUAAAAUCUCUGCCUCCAGCAAACAGAAUUACCAAUUAGGCUUUGUUGUCAAGCCAUGUGUAUGCUGUAAAAACAGGUUAAGCCAUGGUGAGAAUGUGCUAUGCUUACACAGCUGUCUGGGAUUAAUUAGUGAGGGUAUGUCUGGGAUAGCUGCAUGUUUUGAUCAAGCCAAUUCUCUCUAACUCCCACAUGUGUGUGUCUACUUGUAUCCUUGAGUCAUUUCUGAAUAUGUUAAAGAAAAGGAACUACAGACGAAUACAUGUUCUUUUUACUGAUUUGCCUGCUGGAAAUUUCUUCAUGUAAUUUUUUGGAGCAAAGUAUUCUAGCAGUACAAUGAGUAGCCAUUGGAAAGUAAUCCUCUCUACUCCCCCACUCCCCGGGCUAAGACGCUUUUCAUGAAGCAUUUUAGCUCUAAUGGAGACUUCUUAAAGCCAGAUGAAAACUAACCAUCAGUGUGUCAGAAAAGUAACUGGGUUUUAAAAGAAGGGGUUGCGUGAGCUGUCCUCAAGCGUCAAAGUCUCUCCUAAAAUUACCAACAUCAGAGCCCCAGAACCAGGAGUCCUGUCUACAGAGUAAGACCCUGUCUCAAAACCACCACCACAACAACAAAAAUAGCCAUUGGAAUUCACUUAGAAUUAUCCUUACUGAUAAAAUUACAACUAUAAAAGAGAUAAUUAUUUUAAGUACAGAAAAUUAUUCAGAAAAAAAUCUAUUCUAGAAAGCAACUCUGCGUUUAAGUAACUGUUUUGGAUCAUUUCUCCAUUGCCAUAAUUUACACUUAGAUUACACACUGGGGACUAGAAGUGAUCUUGUGGGUGCCCAUAAAAGACUGCCCAUGAACGCAAUUUAUAAUCAUUGAAAGUGUAGACAUGCAGUCAGAAACACAACCAUGAUUACUCAGAAAAAAAAAAAGUUCCUUUCUUGAAACUUUUAAACAUAAAUAUGGAACUUUACAUGCGUGCACAUUAUACAGCAACAUGUUUUAAGAAUAAGCAUGCAUCCUGUGAGUUUGAUUGUACGUAAACUCGGUGAGAAUGUAUUUUUAAAUAAAACAAGAGUUUUGUUCUUAGGAAUUGAUGCUUGGACGUUAGCAUAGGGAACGCAAAACCCAAUUCUGCAAAAUCCCAAGUAUCCCCAGGGCCAGCCUCUGCCAACAGCGUCAGGCAGGGGUAAAGCUUGCUCAGAGACAGUCUUCACACCUCAGGAGUCCAGGCCCCGUUUUAACCAAUUACAGGCAGGCCUUUAUUUUUGCUUGGAUUGAGAUAUUUUGUUUUGUUUCUUACUGAAGUUUUCAUUUGUUUGUUUGUUUUUGCUGCGGGUCAAACUCAGGGCCUUGGAGUUGAGAGGAAGAGAGACUACCUCGGCUUUACAAAUGUCAGCCUCUCUCUACCAUAGGAAGCAUCUUUCCAAGCUUCCUAACUGAAUGUUAUUUACAAUUCUGUUUUGAUUACACACACUUUUUGUAUUUCGGGGAAAAAAAAAAACAACAUUUUCCUGUGCA
rnacentral:lncRNA from 1 species